AUAUGAAAAUCUACACCAUCUAAAACGGCAUUGCCUAAUGGACGAGAGUCUGAUUCAUUACCACCUAAGAAUUCGUUCCAGAUAUAGGAGGCGACUUGCUGAGCAUCAUCGGAAGAAGAAAGGUUAGCGGCUCCACCGAGAGAAAGAAACACUUUGAUGCCUAGGCCUUGGCAAGUUUCUAUUUCGGAACUGUUUAAGGAAUGCCCAGCUAUGUUCAAUUGCGGUGUUUGGCCACCGCCAUAAUUUAUCAGAAAGGCAAUAUUCACGUAGUCGUAGGUACCUUUACGACAUGUGUCUACCAGGCUUCCUUCUGUAGUGUUUUGGCCCCAGUAGGUGGCAAUGCCAGCAUUUACGGGCUGUAUCUGGGACUUGUUAACAUAAGGCCUGAUUGUCUCACUGUAAUUUAAGUCAUGGGCAUGGUCCCAAACCAUGACCCCUCCAUAAUUGGAGUAGUUCUGCACAAAGGGAAGAACCUCAUCAAUUAGCACUUGCGGUGGGAUGUAACCACCACUAGGUGAGACUGCAGGGUCUGCAGGUACUCCCAGGAAUAAUGUAUUAAUGCCUGGAUAGGAAGCCCAGCGGUCCCAACUGUCGAAGAGGGGACUGGUAUUGCCUGGUGUAUACUCACAAGGAGGAUUGUUAAAAAAUUCCACCCACACGUAAUCAAAAUGGCCAGUUUUGAUAGCAGCGUCCAGAAAAUAGUCAGGAAUGAAACAUUCUGGUGCUGCUGAUAAAUACACCAGCUUCCUCUCUGGUGUGUUAUAUUUUGAUAGCGCCUGAACAAGGUCAGCCAAGUAAUCCGCCUUUCCAGCUUGGAUAUGAAAAUCUACACCAUCUAAAACGGCAUUGCCUAAUGGACGAGAGUCUGAUUCAUUACCACCUAAGAAUUCGUUCCAGAUAUAGGAGGCGACUUGCUGAGCAUCAUCGGAAGAAGAAAGGUUAGCGGCUCCACCGAGAGAAAGAAACACUUUGAUGCCUAGGCCUUGGCAAGUUUCUAUUUCGGAACUGUUUAAGGAAUGCCCAGCUAUGUUCAAUUGCGGUGUUUGGCCACCGCCAUAAUUUAUCAGAAAGGCAAUAUUCACGUAGUCGUAG
rnacentral:lncRNA from 1 species